CGCGGCCUAUCAGCUUGUUGGUGGGGUAAUGGCCUACCAAGGCGACGACGGGUAGCCGGCCUGAGAGGGCGACCGACCACACUGGGACUGAGACACGGCCCAGACUCCUACGGGAGGCAGCAGUGGGGAAUAUUGCACAAUGGGCGAAAGCCUGAUGCAGCGACGCCGCGUGAGGGAUGACGGCCUUCGGGUUGUAAACCUCUUUCAGCAGGGAAGAAGCGAAAGUGACGGUACCUGCAGAAGAAGCGCCGGCUAACUACGUGCCAGCAGCCGCGGUAAUACGUAGGGCGCAAGCGUUGUCCGGAAUUAUUGGGCGUAAAGAGCUCGUAGGCGGCUUGUCACGUCGGGUGUGAAAGCCCGGGGCUUAACCCCGGGUCUGCAUCCGAUACGGGCAGGCUAGAGUGUGGUAGGGGAGAUCGGAAUUCCUGGUGUAGCGGUGAAAUGCGCAGAUAUCAGGAGGAACACCGGUGGCGAAGGCGGAUCUCUGGGCCAUUACUGACGCUGAGGAGCGAAAGCGUGGGGAGCGAACAGGAUUAGAUACCCUGGUAGUCCACGCCGUAAACGUUGGGAACUAGGUGUUGGCGACAUUCCACGUCGUCGGUGCCGCAGCUAACGCAUUAAGCUCCCCGCCUGGGGAGUACGG
rnacentral:rRNA from 1 species